rnacentral:rRNA from 1 species
UACGAAGGGGGCUAGCGUUGCUCGGAAUCACUGGGCGUAAAGGGUGCGUAGGCGGGUCUUUAAGUCAGGGGUGAAAUCCUGGAGCUCAACUCCAGAACUGCCUCUGAUACUGAGGAGCUCGAGUCCGGGAGAGGUGAGUGGAACUCCGAGUGUAGAGGUGAAAUUCGUAGAUAUUCGGAAGAACACCAGUGGCGAAGGCGGCUCACUGGCCCGGUACUGACGCUGAGGUGCGAAAGCGUGGGGAGCAAACAGG